AUGGUGCAAUCUAUGAUGUCUCUUACUGAUUUACCGCUAUCGUUUUGGGGUUAUGCUUUACAGACGGCCGCAUUCACGUUAAAUAGGGCACCAUCGAAAUCCGUUGAGACAACGCCUUAUGAACUAUGGUUUGGCAAGAAACCAAAGUUGUCGUUUCUUAAAGUUUGGGGCUGCGAUGCUUAUGUGAAAAAGCUUCAACCUGAUAAGCUCGAACCCAAAUCAGAGAAAUGUGUCUUCAUAGGAUAUCCAAAGGAAACUAUUGGAUACACCUUCUAUCACAGAUCCGAAGGCAAGACUUUUGUUGCUAAAUUCGGAAACUUUCUAGAGAAGGAGUUUCUCUCGAAAGAAGUGAGUGGGAGGAAAGUAGAACUUGAUGAGGUGACUGUACCUGCUCCCUUAUUGGAAAUUAGUACAUCACAGAAACCGGUUCCUAUGACACCUACACCAAUUAGUGAGGAAGCUAAUGACAAUGAUCAUGAAACUUCAAAACAAGUAUCUACUGAACCUCGUAGAUCAACUAGAGUAAGAUCCGCACCAGAGUGGUACGGUAAUCCUGUUCUGGAAGUCAUGCUACUAGAUCAUGAUGAACCUACAAACUAUGAAGAAGCGAUGGUGAGCCCAGAUUCCGCAAAAUGGCUUGAAGCCAUGAAAUCUGAGAUGGGAUCCAUGUAUGAGAACAAAGUGUCGACUUUGGUUGACUUGCCCAAUGAUCGACAAGGAAUUGAGAAUAAAUGGAUCUUCAAGAAGAAGACUGACGCUGACGGUAAUGUUACUGUCUACAAAGCUCGACUUGUCGCAAAAGGUUUUCGACAAGUUCAAGGGAUUGACUACGAUGAGACCUUCUGA
rnacentral:rRNA from 1 species